AAAUGUGCAGCGGUUUUGAAAGCGGCUUCUCCGUUCAGCGCAGAUGCUGUAACCCCUGGGGCGAGCUGUCCCUCUGUCCGUUGCAGUGAAACCGCUGCGACUGUGCGGGCAGCCCGAGGCCAGGGCAGCACUGCCCGGGGCAGGGGCGGAAGGGCCCCUGGUGAUGCUCCCGAAGUGUUUGCGUUCGCCUGCGACCCUCGGGGAGCCCCGGCCCUGGCCCCGGUUUGCGCUGCCCCCGGUGCGGGGCUGUUCAGUGCCGCCCGUUUCGGUCUGCGCUGUGCCAGAUCUCCCGGUAAGGCACCGACCCCUCCGCAGCCCUUUGCUGACGCGCCCUCCAUCCCUCUCUUGGCCAUUUCUUCUGCCGAGAUCGGAGCCACGUGCGCGGCCGCACGGGUCCCUUGGCGGUCCCUUCCCCGUCGGGGCCUGACGGGGCGCUGGGGGCUCCUUUGCUCGCCCCGGGCGCGGUGCGGGCGGGGCCGCGGCGGUGCCGGGCAGGGGGUGCAGGGCCGAGGCGCGGCCGCCAGGAGGCGCUGCUGCUCGCGCUGCGCGGGGCGGGCGGGCGCACCUGGCGCGCGCGGGGCCGUGGCUCCGGGCCCGCUCCGCGCCCCGCGCAGCGGCUGCGCCCGACCCGGCCGGCGCCAGCGGCCGCUGCCGGAGCUGCGCCCCGCGCACACGGGCCGUGCCCGCCCCGGCGCAGCACGGUCGGCAGCCGCUCUCCCACUGCUAGCGCGGCGGGGGACGUCCGCAGCCCGCCGGCAUGGAGCCCUAGAGGGCAGCUGCUGGGGAGCUGUCACAGAAAGUGAAAGAUGAAGCCUCUUGUUCUCUUGGUCCUUGUGAUCUGUACUGUAGUCAGCAUGAAUUUGAAGCUCGUGUCAAAGAGAAAUUCUGGUAAGUCACAGAAAAUUAUUUUUACUUUUGGAUCUGGACCUCAUGCUCAUGCAAUCAAGCAUUUUAGAGGCCUGCUUUUUGUUUUGCAUAUAUACUACUUGUUCUGUUCUGCCAAAAAUAAAAAAGAAAUCAUAACUGAUAUGGUUUGCUUAGUAAAUGAUUACAGGACGAAUUUUCUCAAUAUAAUUUUCUGUUGGUGUGACUUUAAGCUGUUUGAAAGGGUCCUUAUGUUUUCUUUUGUUAAAAAAAAAAAAGAAAAUGUUGAUCGGGUUGAAACCUCACAAAGAUAAUAAUGACUUUGGCAUUGUGGCAUUGUUCUAGCAUCCAGUCUUUUACUUAUGCUAAGGGAUUUUCUUAACUGUGGAUGUGGUCUGUGGUGAGUUUUAGGUCUGGAUGAUGUUUUGUAUGUUGAAAGGUCCUUGAAAAAGUUAUGCUGGCCAGACAUAUGAUCAUAUAUAGGGUUAACUGGGAAGAGCUCUCCUGAGUACAUAAUCUCUGAUUAUUCUGGCAGUGGAAGGGAGUGGGAGUUGGUUCAUGUUUACAUCUGCUUUUGAAACCUACUAAUAGUAACAGAACACUUCAAAGAAGCAUUAGAAUCUCUCCUUCCAGGGUAGACAGUUCAUCUGGAUAAUGGUUCAUCUGUACUUGAGCCUGAAGUGAUGUCUACUGCAUGCAGCUCUGCCCUCCCAAAGGAGUGACUUCAUGAGACUGUUUGUAUUUCUCAAAUAAGAUGUGAGUUUGGAAAACAUUGGGCAAACAAGCAGGUCAGCUGCAGUGCUACACAGUGGUGUCAGUCUGUUACAGCCAGGUGUGUGUGUAAGGGUAAAUAUUGGACUUCAAAGAAUGUUAACUUGUUUUUACGCACUGUGUGUGUGCUAUACUUACACGUGUGAGGGCUUCCACUGAUCUUGCUGUCCUCAAGGUCUUCAGCUUUUUCAACACUGCAGGUACAAACAGAAAUUACUGACUUCAGUUGGUGUGGCCAGUAUUAAGUUUAAUUUCUGCAUUUCUUGAGAACAGAGGAGAAAAUUAUUGGGCCAUCUUUUAAAAACAAUUACAUGUCACAUCCCAGGCUGAGAAGUGUUGCUCUGGGAACUGCCAGGUUCUGGGCUGAAUUCUUUCUGCUAGGCUGGAAAGUAUAAACGGAGGUUGCUAAACUGCACUAGUCUCUAGCUUUUUGUUGUGGUUAUUGUGUCCAGAACCCUGUUUGCCCUGUGAGAGCAGUCAUGGGUAUUGUGGUUUGGGAACAGUGCAUCUUGGUCUAAACUCUGCUAAGGGUGAUGGUGUUCCUGUUUUUCAAAACUGCUGUCACUGGCCUGGAUGGAAACCCUCUGUGAGAUCCACAAUCAGUGUAACUGAACAGUCUCUAUUCAUUGAUGCCAGGCAGCAGCACCUGGCUGCAAGCAAGGGCCUGUGCAAUUCCUUUACCAGAAGUACACGACUGUAGAAGUGACAUGCUGAUGGUUGUAGCAUCAUUCAGCUGGUAGUUUACCUUUAAUUAUAUAUAUAUAUUUAAAAUCUGCUUUCUUUGACUCUGCAGAAUGUCUUGUAUUAAUAGCAGCUGUUGACAGUGUCAAUUUAGGUUCAGUACUGGUGGGAAAAAUGCUUUAAUAUGUUAGACUGCCUCUUGCUAAAUAUAACCACUAGUGAAUAGGUGGUUCUUUUUCAUUUCAUUUGAUUGUGCCAGUAUGUGUUGAGAAAAAGAUGAAGAGGAAAAAAUGCACGUAAAGUAAAAUUACAGUUUCUUUGCAAGUACAUAAUCAUGUAGUUGGCUUUCACCUUCAAUACUCAUUCUGGUCGCUGCAUGGAGCAAACUAUUGAUUUCUUUUUCUUUUUGCUUUUUCCACUACAUUGUGUGUGAAAUAAUUUUCUGUUUCUGUGAUAUCAGCGCUUGGAGCAAAAUUGAUAAUUUGACUCCUUUUCUGAAAGGUCUUUAGAUUUGAAGGACUGUUGUUUGAUUGCUUGGGGUUUCACUAAAUGUUAUAUAUUGUGAAGACAGAGAUGCUCCAGAGACUUCUGAACUUUAAAUGUUUGUAUAGAGUUUUAAUGGAAGAUCAGGGAGAGUGGGUGGAUGCAGACAGGCAAAUGCACAAAGAAAAAACGUCAGCAUAUUUUCCAUAGGGUGACAGUAGCUGUAACAGGCUGGUGCUGUAGUUUGUUUUUUUUUUUUUUUUUUUUUACACUUGUGUCUUGAUGAAGGAGAGUGUAAAGGAGAAAUUAAUGUAAUAGUUAUUUGUGGGCAGCUGCACUGCAGUGUAAACUGCAGGACAUCUGGAAGUGGGAAAAGCGUUAUAGCUGUAGAUUAGAGCUGAGGUGGGGGGAGUGGAUGAAGGGCCCAAAGGAUGCUCUGUGGACAGGAUCUCUGCAGCAGUGUCUGGAGGGGUGUUGUAGUCUUGGGUCUUGCUGGCUAUUGGUAUAGGGAUGUCUGUGCUGGUGAGCAUUCUUAAAAGGGGAAGGGAAAUUGUGCAGACAGUUAUGUAGAGCAGUGUGAAGCAGUGCAUGGAAGGUGUUGACACUGAUGAUAAAGACAGAUUUGGGCUACUAGGACAAUAAACCAGCAAAAUCGGUGUCUUUGCUGACUUACGUAGACUGGCAUUUUUUCAAAGCAAUGCAUAGAAUUAUUGCACGAAUGGCCAGAAUUGUGAUUAGUGUCAAGUACAAGAGCAAUUAUGAAGUUGACUGGCAUGUGUGUAAUAUCACAUAAUAGAAUGUAUCUUGUUUAAGGGGUAGGGAGGAUCUAAAGAGAGCUGACUUGAAGAGGAACAAGGUAAAGAUGAGGUGUUUUCAGGUAAUGUAAAGGCCUCACUCAACUGAGGCAGUCAAAAGGGGAGCAGAAUGUCCAGAAGGGCUUUAUAGAUGAAACUGGAGUUGACUGACAGAGAGGAAAGGUUUGGCUAGGAAAGCAUCUUCAGAAGCUGGUGCAGAAAUUCUCCUUCAAAGUCAAGGAAUGGAAACCCAAGGGGAGAAAGUUGAGUAUGAGAGCUCCACCAAGUGCACACAGAGGCUGGACAACAGGCAAGUCAUUAAAGACUCUUGAGACAUUAAGAGCCAUUAAAGUCAGGAGUGGCG
rnacentral:lncRNA from 1 species